UACAGAGGUCCCGAGCGUUGUUCGGAUUUAUUGGGCGUAAAGGGUGCGUAGGUGGCAAAGUAAGUUGGAUGUGAAAUUCUGGGGCUCAACCUCAGAAUUGCAUUCAAUACUGCUUAGCUAGAGAGCUGUAGAGGAGACUGGAAUUUACGGUGUAGCAGUGAAAUGCGUAGAUAUCGUAAGGAACGCCAGUGGCGAAAGCGAGUCUCUGGGCAGCAUCUGACACUGAGGCACGAAGGCCAGGGGAGCAAACGGG
rnacentral:rRNA from 1 species